AAGGAUAUUUAUUAAUUACAUGGGAAUUAUUUACUGCCUCAAAAAUCUUUGUGAACAUGCCGUUUAUUAAAACACGUGAACCAGAUGAAUUACAACUAAUCCCACUCCCUCAUUUUAUUCGUAAAAUUGCCUCUGGUUAAAGUGCAGUGGUGCAGCCGUGGUGCAGUAGCUUCAGAACUGAAGGUCUCUGGUUCGAAGCCAGCUCCAGCUAUAUUUGCACUAUUGUUAAGGAAGAAGAUGUGAACUUCCUGAUUAAAUAUUAUUCCGCGGUGUCCUGCGAUAAGACCGUUAGGAGAUCUUGGAGCACCUAAAUAACUAAUAAAAAAAUAAUAAGAGCUUAGCCAUCUUUAUAAUUUUAAAUGUUUUGUAAUGGACCGUUCCCUUAAUAGAAAAAAACCGCAAUGCAUUUUAGUCUUUGUAUUCACCGAAAAUAAACAAAUUAGAGUUAAAAUUUUUAAAAAUAAACAGUCAAGUAAUUGAUUUUAAAAGACUUUUCAAAAUGAUUUUAAAUGAUACAAUAUCUUAUGAUUAACUAAUAACUCAUUCUAUUAAAGAACAUAUUACUGUUGAGUCAACAACAACAACAAAAUACCGCGGUGGCAUAACUUGUUGUGUUCCAUUAUGCAACAGUAAUUCGCUCAAAAACAAAAACUUAUCAUUUUACAUCAUCCCAAAGGAAAGUAAUUUG